AUACGUAGGGGGCGAGCGUUGUCCGGAAUGAUUGGGCGUAAAGGGCGCGUAGGCGGCCCGGUAAGUCUGGAGUGAAAGUCCUGUUUUUGAGAUGGGAAUUGCUUUGGAUACUGUCGGGCUUGAGUGCAGGAGAGGUAAGUGGAAUUCCCAGUGUAGCGGUGAAAUGCGUAGAGAUUGGGAGGAACACCAGUGGCGAAGGCGACUUACUGGACUGUAACUGACGCUGAGGCGCGAAAGUGUGGGGAGCAAACAGGAUUAGAUACCCUGGUAGUCCACACUGUAAACGAUGAAUGCUAGGUGUAGGGGGUAUCGACCCCUUCUGUGCCGCAGUCAACACAAUAAGCAUUCCGCCUGGGGAGUACGGCCGCAAGGUUGAAACUUAAAGGAAUUGGCGGGG
rnacentral:rRNA from 1 species